rnacentral:rRNA from 1 species
GAUGAACGCUAGCUACAGGCUUAACACAUGCAAGUCGAGGGGAAACGGCAUUGAGUGCUUGCACUCUUUGGACGUCGACCGGCGCACGGGUGAGUAACGCGUAUCCAACCUUCCCAUUACUGUGGGAUAACCUGCCGAAAGGCAGACUAAUACCGCAUAGUCUUCGAUGACGGCAUCAGAUUUGAAGUAAAGAUUUAUCGGUAAUGGAUGGGGAUGCGUCUGAUUAGCUUGUUGGCGGGGUAAAGGCCUACCAAGGCGACGAUCUGUAGCGGGUCUGAGAGGAUGAUCCGCCACACUGGGACUGAGACACGGCCCAGACUCCUACGGGAGGCAGCAGUGGGGAAUAUUGGACAAUGGGGGGAACCCUGAUCCAGCCAUGCCGCGUGUGUGAAGAAGGCCUUAUGGUUGUAAAGCACUUUAAGCGAGGAGGAGGCUACUGAGACUAAUACUCUUGGAUAGUGGACGUUACUCGCAGAAUAAGCACCGGCUAACUCUGUGCCAGCAGCCGCGGUAAUACAGAGGGUGCGAGCGUUAAUCGGAUUUACUGGGCGUAAAGCGUGCGUAGGCGGCUUUUUAAGUCGGAUGUGAAAUCCCCGAGCUUAACUUGGGAAUUGCAUUCGAUACUGGGAAGCUAGAGUAUGGGAGAGGAUGGUAGAAUUCCAGGUGUAGCGGUGAAAUGCGUAGAGAUCUGGAGGAAUACCGAUGGCGAAGGCAGCCAUCUGGCCUAAUACUGACGCUGAGGUACGAAAGCAUGGGGAGCAAACAGG